AUUGAACGCUGGCGGCAGGCCUAACACAUGCAAGUCGAACGGUAACAGGAAGCAGCUUGCUGCUUUGCUGACGAGUGGCGGACGGGUGAGUAAUGUCUGGGAAACUGCCUGAUGGAGGGGGAUAACUACUGGAAACGGUAGCUAAUACCGCAUAACGUCGCAAGACCAAAGAGGGGGACCUUAGGGCCUCUUGCCAUCGGGUGUGCCCAGAUGGGAUUAGCUAGUAGGUGGGGUAACGGCUCACCUAGGCGACGAUCCCUAGCUGGUCUGAGAGGAUGACCAGCCACACUGGAACUGAGACACGGUCCAGACUCCUACGGGAGGCAGCAGUGGGGAAUAUUGCACAAUGGGCGCAAGCCUGAUGCAGCCAUGCCGCGUGUAUGAAGAAGGCCUUCGGGUUGUAAAGUACUUUCAGCGGGGAGGAAGGGAGUAAAGUUAGUACCUUUGCUCAUUGACGUUACCCGCAGAAGAAGCACCGGCUAACUCCGUG
rnacentral:rRNA from 1 species